rnacentral:rRNA from 1 species
GUGGAUUAGAUACCCGAGUAGUCCACGCCGUAAACGAUGAGUACUAGGUGUUGGAGGUAUCGACCCCUUCAGUGCCGAAGCCAACGCGAUAAGUACUCCGCCUGGGGACUACGGCCGCAAGGCUAAAACUCAAAGGAAUUGACGGGGGCCCGCACAAGCAGCGGAGCGUGUGGUUUAAUUCGAUGAUACGCGAAGAACCUCACCCAGGCUUGACAUGCACGUGGUACCGAUCCGAAAGGUGAGGGACCCUUCGGGGAGCGUGCACAGGUGUUGCACGGUUGUCGACAACU